CGAAGAACCUUACCAGGUCUUGACAUCNUCUGACAACUCUAGAGAUAGAGCGUUCCCCUUCGGGGGACAGAGUNACAGGUGGUGCAUGGUUGUCGUCAGCUCGUGUCGUGAGAUGUUGGGUUAAGUCCCGCAACGAGCGCAACCCUUGAUNUUAGUUGCCAGCAUUUAGUUGGGCACUCUAAGGUGACUGCCGGUGACAAACCGGAGGAAGGUGGGGAUGACGUCAAAUCAUCAUGCCCCUUAUGNCCUGGGCUACACACGUGCUACAAUGGAUGGUACAAAGGGCUGCAAGACCGCGAGGUCAAGCCAAUCCCAUAAAACCAUUCUCAGUUCGGAUUGUAGNCUGCAACUCGCCUAGCAUGAAGNU
rnacentral:rRNA from 1 species